rnacentral:ncRNA from 1 species
GAGGCCCCCAUAAUCUUCUGUGCGUUCCGCCAAGUUCGACAGGAAGAUUAUGGGGGUUUU